rnacentral:rRNA from 1 species
GAUUUCUGGCUUGAAACACUAAGCCGGCCACGGUUUCGUGUGUUAGUGCUUGAUACAUUGGCCAUCCUUCCAAUGGCUAUUCAUCCUUCUUCAUUGAGGUGGUGAGUGGUAUUGGAUCUUUUACUUUGAAAAAAUUAGAGUGUUUCAAGCAGGCUUUAUGCUAUGAAUACAUUAGCAUGGAAUAAUAAUUUAGGACUUCGGUUCUAUUUUGUUGGUUUCUAGGACUGAAGUAAUGAUUGAUAGGGAUAGUUGGGGGUGCUAGUAUUCAGCGGCCAGAGGUGAAAUUCUCGGAUUCGCUGAAGACUAACUUAUGCGAAAGCAUU